AAACGGUGGUAAUGCCGGAUGCUCCAGUUGAUCGCAUGGUCUUCUGGGAAAGCUUUCGCGGUAUGGGAUGGGGUCGCGUCCUAUCAGCUUGACGGCGGGGUAACGGCCCACCGUGGCUUCGACGGGUAGCCGGCCUGAGAGGGCGACCGGCCACAUUGGGACUGAGAUACGGCCCAGACUCCUACGGGAGGCAGCAGUGGGGAAUAUUGCACAAUGGGCGCAAGCCUGAUGCAGCGACGCCGCGUGAGGGAUGGAGGCCUUCGGGUUGUAAACCUCUUUUAUCGGGGAGCAAGCGAGAGUGAGUUUACCCGUUGAAUAAGCACCGGCUAACUACGUGCCAGCAGCCGCGGUAAUACGUAGGGUGCAAGCGUUAUCCGGAAUUAUUGGGCGUAAAGGGCUCGUAGGCGGUUCGUCGCGUCCGGUGUGAAAGUCCAUCGCUUAACGGUGGAUCCGCGCCGGGUACGGGCGGGCUUGAGUGCGGUAGGGGAGACUGGAAUUCCCGGUGUAACGGUGGAAUGUGUAGAUAUCGAAAAGAGAACACC
rnacentral:rRNA from 1 species